AUACUCACCUGCCAUGAGUCUCUACAUACCGUGAUCACAGAGGUGACUUUCCCAUAACAAGGCUCAUCUAUUGCAUUCCUGAUAUGCUGAUCCUUGCAGUUUCUCCAAAUGUGGCAAACUCAAUGGCAUAAUUUGUUGCAGUUGGGGGAGGGAGCAA
rnacentral:snRNA from 1 species